rnacentral:lncRNA from 1 species
GGUUCCCUUGUCAACUCCCUAUGAUUCCAUCUAGAGUUCCCAUUCAUUUGUCACUUCCUCCCUCACAAGCUUCAUGAAAUCUGAAAGUAAUACAAUCACUUUGGCUUCACCUUCCUUUGAGGUUUGGGCUAUAUUGAUAGGGUUUCUUCCUCAGGACUCGACUUUAUCUCCCUUAAAGGAAUCUUCCCCUCUUGGAUUUCUUUUAUCACUUUCUUCCAAUUAUAUGGAGUCUGCACUCUCUUUGAAACGAGAAUGACUUGUCUUCUGUGGCUCAGGAACAAGCGGCACCUUUUGGACUCCAACUCCUUAGGUUUCGACCUAUUGCUGACUUGAUCCCCAAGUAGCUCUCUUUUCUCAAGCCAUAGCUAAAGUCUGUGCUUAGGUCUUGUCACUACAACUCGAUCUUGGUCUAACCACCCCUUAAGCCAACUAGUCCCACUCUAAUAUCAAUGUAAUGCUCCAAUCCUUCACCAGGAAUCAGCAGCACUUGCAACCUGCACCCAACCAGUCCUCUGAUUAGUUACCGACCAACUCUUAUUUUAUCCAUCGCAGA